ensembl:lncRNA
CCCCGACCGGGGGUGGCCCGGGGACGGCGGCCCCCACCGAGCUGUCCCGGAGGACCGGGGGCGCGGCGGGGGGAGGGGGUGCGCGGCGCGAGGGAGCAGUUGGAGAGAUGCUGACUGUUUACACCAACGGAGCAAGAAGACGGAGAGCCAUUUGAGGAGGGCGGCAUGGGCAGCACCACUGAGCAACGACAAAUUUCAGCCCCCAGCAUCUUCCUUCUCUAUUUGCAAGAAUACCCGUGGCUUGAAGAAACCCAGCAGGAGGAGGAACAAGUGCAGUGCUGGAGUGAUGGAGGGUCGCCACCUGCAAGGCUGUGCCGGCAACCCUGCUCUGUUGUUGCUGGGUGGCUCUGGGGGCUCUGCAGGUCCCACUGUUACUGUGGGGCUGCCUCUGCCCCCCUCUCCAGCCCCCGCCAGGCUGCCUUGCCCCACGGCUUCCUACUCGCCCCACCCAUGUUUACAUACGAUCAACCAGGCGGCCGCAGCCUCCUGCACAAAGGGCAGAGUCCUCCUCGGACCCCCCUUCCCCUCCCCCCCCAUUCCAGGGGUGUCGGAUGCAGGGGGACCCGCAGACAUCACCCACCCAGUGGGCACCAAACCCUCACCAUUCUCCCCCAAAAGCAGCACAGCCCCAACAGCCACAGCUGGGCACUGUGCCCCAUGGCAGCGAGCAGCAUGGGAACCCCAACCUCCCCCAACCCCCCCAGCGAUACCCAG